GGCGAGGCCGAAAGGCGUAGUCGAUGGGAAACAGGUUAAUAUUCCUGUACUUGGUGUUACUGCGAAGGGGGGACGGAGAAGGCUAUGUUGGCCGGGCGACGGUUGUCCCGGUUUAAGCGUGUAGGCUGGUUUUCCAGGCAAAUCCGGAAAAUCAAGGCUGAGGCGUGAUGACGAGGCACUACGGUGCUGAAGCAACAAAUGCCCUGCUUCCAGGAAAAGCCUCUAAGCAUCAGGUAACAUCAAAUCGUACCCCAAACCGACACAGGUGGUCAGGUAGAGAAUACCAAGGCGCUUGAGAGAACUCGGGUGAAGGAACUAGGCAAAAUGGUGCCGUAACUUCGGGAGAAGGCACGCUGAUAUGUAGGUGAAGUCCCUCGCGGAUGGAGCUGAAAUCAGUCGAAGAUACCAGCUGGCUGCAACUGUUUAUUAAAAACACAGCACUGUGCAAACACGAAAGUGGACGUAUACGGUGUGACGCCUGCCCGGUGCCGGAAGGUUAAUUGAUGGGGUCAGCGCAAGCGAAGCUCUUGAUCGAAGCCCCGGUAAACGGCGGCCGUAACUAUAACGGUCCUAAGGUAGCGAAAUUCCUUGUCGGGUAAGUUCCGACCUGCACGAAUGGCGUAAUGAUGGCCAGGCUGUCUCCACCCGAGACUCAGUGAAAUUGAACUCGCUGUGAAGAUGCAGUGUACCCGCGGCAAGACGGAAAGACCCCGUGAACCUUUACUAUAGCUUGACACUGAACAUUGAGCCUUGAUGUGUAGGAUAGGUGGGAGGCUUUGAAGUGUGGACGCCAGUCUGCAUGGAGCCGACCUUGAAAUACCACCCUUUAAUGUUUGAUGUUCUAACGUGGACCCGUGAUCCGGGUUGCGGACAGUGUCUGGUGGGUAGUUUGACUGGGGCGGUCUCCUCCUAAAGAGUAACGGAGGAGCACGAAGGUUGGCUAAUCCUGGUCGGACAUCAGGAGGUUAGUGCAAUGGCAUAAGCCAGCUUGACUGCGAGCGUGACGGCGCGAGCAGGUGCGAAAGCAGGUCAUAGUGAUCCGGUGGUUCUGAAUGGAAGGGCCAUCGCUCAACGGAUAAAAGGUACUCCGGGGAUAACAGGCUGAUACCGCCCAAGAGUUCAUAUCGACGGCGGUGUUUGGCACCUCGAUGUCGGCUCAUCACAUCCUGGGGCUGAAGUAGGUCCCAAGGGUAUGGCUGUUCGCCAUUUAAAGUGGUACGCGAGCUGGGUUUAGAACGUCGUGAGACAGUUCGGUCCCUAUCUGCCGUGGGCGCUGGAGAACUGAGGGGGGCUGCUCCUAGUACGAGAGGACCGGAGUGGACGCAUCACUGGUGUUCGGGUUGUCAUGCCAAUGGCACUGCCCGGUAGCUAAAUGCGGAAGAGAUAAGUGCUGAAAGCAUCUAAGCACGAAACUUGCCCCGAGAUGAGUUCUCCCUGACCCUUUAAGGGUCCUGAAGGAACGUUGAAGACGACGACGUUGAUAGGCCGGGUGUGUAAGCGCAGCGAUGCGUUGAGCUAACCGGUACUAAUGAACCGUGAGGCUUAACCUUACAACGCCGAAGGUGUUU
rnacentral:rRNA from 1 species